rnacentral:misc_RNA from 1 species
GAUGAAGAACGUAGCGAAAUGCGAUACGUAAUGUGAAUUGCAGAAUUCAGUGAAUCAUCGAAUCUUUGAACGCAUAUUGCGCUCUCUGGUAUUCCGGAGAGCAUGCUUGUUUGAGUAUCAGUAAACACCUCAACUUCCAUAUCUUUUUUGAAAUGGGAGUUGGACUUGAGUGAUCCCAACGCUUUUCCUCACCGAAAAGUGGCGGGUUACUUGAAAUGCAGGUGCAGCUGGACUUUUCUCUGAGCUAUAAGCAUAUCUAUUUAGUCUGCCUAAAAAACUGAUUAUUACCUUUGCUGCAGCUAACAUAAAGGAUAUUAGUUCUUGUGCUGACUGAUGCAGGAUUCACAAAGACAGGCUUCGGCCGACUUUGUAAACUCGAUCUCAAAUCAAGUAAGACUACCCGCUGAACUUAAGCAUAUCAAUAAGCGGAGGA